AGUGAACGCUGGCGGUAGGCCUAACACAUGCAAGUCGAACGGCAGCACAGUAAGAGCUUGCUCUUACGGGUGGCGAGUGGCGGACGGGUGAGGAAUACAUCGGAAUCUACUUUUUCGUGGGGGAUAACGUAGGGAAACUUACGCUAAUACCGCAUACGACCUACGGGUGAAAGUAGGGGAUCUUCGGACCUUGCGCGAUUGAAUGAGCCGAUGUCGGAUUAGCUAGUUGGCGGGGUAAAGGCCCACCAAGGCGACGAUCCGUAGCUGGUCUGAGAGGAUGAUCAGCCACACUGGAACUGAGACACGGUCCAGACUCCUACGGGAGGCAGCAGUGGGGAAUAUUGGACAAUGGGCGCAAGCCUGAUCCAGCCAUACCGCGCGGGUGAAGAAGGCCUUCGGGUUGUAAAGCCCUUUUGUUGGGAAAGAAAAGCAGCAGGUUAAUACCCCGCUGUUCUGACGGUACCCAAAGAAUAAGCACCGGCUAACUUCGUG
rnacentral:rRNA from 1 species